UACGUAGGGGGCAAGCGUUGUCCGGAAUCACUGGGCGUAAAGCGCACGUAGGCGGCUUUCUAAGUCAGGGGUGAAAUCCUGGAGCUCAACUCCAGAACUGCCUUUGAUACUGGAGAGCUUGAGUCCGGGAGAGGUGAGUGGAACUCCGAGUGUAGAGGUGAAAUUCGUAGAUAUUCGGAAGAACACCAGUGGCGAAGGCGGCUCACUGGCCCGGUACUGACGCUGAGGUGCGAAAGCGUGGGGAGCAAACAGG
rnacentral:rRNA from 1 species